rnacentral:rRNA from 1 species
AGUUUGAUCCUGGCUCAGGAUGAACGCUAGCUACAGGCUUAACACAUGCAAGUCGAGGGGAAACGACAUCGAAAGCUUGCUUUUGAUGGGCGUCGACCGGCGCACGGGUGAGUAACGCGUAUCCAACCUGCCCACCACUUGGGGAUAACCUUGCGAAAGUAAGACUAAUACCCAAUGACGUCUCUAGAAGACAUCUGAAGGAGAUUAAAGAUUUAUCGGUGAUGGAUGGGGAUGCGUCUGAUUAGCUUGUUGGCGGGGUAACGGCCCACCAAGGCGACGAUCAGUAGGGGUUCUGAGAGGAAGGUCCCCCACAUUGGAACUGAGACACGGUCCAAACUCCUACGGGAGGCAGCAGUGAGGAAUAUUGGUCAAUGGACGAGAGUCUGAACCAGCCAAGUAGCGUGCAGGAUGACGGCCCUAUGGGUUGUAAACUGCUUUUAUAAGGGAAUAAAGUGAGUCUCGUGAGACUUUUUGCAUGUACCUUAUGAAUAAGGACCGGCUAAUUCCGUGCCAGCAGCCGCGGUAAUACGGAAGGUCCGGGCGUUAUCCGGAUUUAUUGGGUUUAAAGGGAGCGUAGGCCGGAGAUUAAGCGUGUUGUGAAAUGUAGACGCUCAACGUCUGCACUGCAGCGCGAACUGGUUUCCUUGAGUACGCACAAAGUGGGCGGAAUUCGUGGUGUAGCGGUGAAAUGCUUAGAUAUCACGAAGAACUCCGAUUGCGAAGGCAGCUCACUGGAGCGCAACUGACGCUGAAAGCUCGAAGAAGUGCGGGUAUCGAACAGAUUAGAUACCCUGGUAGUCCGCACGGUAAACGAUGGAUGCCCGCUGUUGGUCUGAAUAGGUCAGCGGCCAAGCGAAAGCAUUAAGCAUCCCACCUGGGGAGUACGCCGGCAACGGUGAAACUCAAAGGAAUUGACGGA